rnacentral:rRNA from 19 species
CCUGGCGGCACUAGCGCGGUGGUCCCACCUGACCCCAUGCCGAACUCAGAAGUGAAACGCCGUAGCGCCGAUGGUAGUGUGGGGUCUCCCCAUGCGAGAGUAGGGAACUGCUAGGC